AAUUUAAAGUCUAAUCUGCACACUGAUGAAAUUAUUAAGGGGCUGCAGUAUAUUGACUGUACAAAGGUAGCAUAAUCAUUAGUCUUUUAAUUGAAGACUUGUAUGAAAGAUUUGAUGAAAUAUAAACUGUCUCUAAUUUAUUUAUAUAAAAUUUAAUUUUUUAGUUAAAAAGCUAAAAUAAAAUUAAAAGACGAGAAGACCCUAUAGAGUUUUAUAAUUAAAAUAAUUAAUAAAUUUUAUAUGUAUAUAAAUAAAGAAAAAUUAUUUUAAUUAUUUUAUUGGGGUGAUAAAAAAAUUAAAAAAACUUUUUUUAUAUUUAAACAUUAAUAAGUGAAAAAAUGAUCCAUUAAUAGUGAUUAUAAGAAAAAAUUACCUUAGGGAUAACAGCGUAAUAUUUUUUUUUAGUACGAAUAAAAAAAAAAGUUUGCGACCUCGAUGUUGGAUUAAAAUAAAAUUUAAAUGCAAAAGUUUAAAAUUUUGAUCUGUUCGAUCAUUAAAAUCUUACAUG
rnacentral:rRNA from 1 species